CGAAACCAGGUGAUCUACCCAUGUCCAGGAUGAAGGUAAGGUAAUACUUACUGGAGGUCCGAACCCACGCACGUUGAAAAGUGCGGGGAUGAGGUGUGGGUAGCGGAGAAAUUCCAAUCGAACUUGGAGAUAGCUGGUUCUCUCCGAAAUAGCUUUAGGGCUAGCCUCGAGGUAAAGAGUCAUGGAGGUAGAGCACUGUUUGGACUAGGGGCCCUUCUCGGGUUACCGAAUUCAGAUAAACUCCGAAUGCCAUGUACUUAUACUCGGGAGUCAGACUGCGAGUGAUAAGAUCCGUAGUCGAAAGGGAAACAGCCCAGACCACCAGUUAAGGUCCCCAAAUAUAUGUUAAGUGGAAAAGGAUGUGGGGUUGCUUAGACAACCAGGAUGUUGGCUUAGAAGCAGCCACCAUUGAAAGAGUGCGUAAUAGCUCACUGGUCGAGUGACCCCGCGCCGAAAAUGUACCGGGGCUAAACAUAUUACCGAAACUGUGGAUGAACCUCUUUAGAGGUUCGUGGUAGGAGAGCGUUCUAAGGGCGGUGAAGUCAGACCGGAAGGACUGGUGGAGCGCUUAGAAGUGAGAAUGCCGGUAUGAGUAGCGAAAGAAGGGUGAGAAUCCCUUCCACCGAAUAUCUAAGGUUUCCUGAGGAAGGCUCGUCCGCUCAGGGUUAGUCGGGACCUAAGCCGAGGCCGAUAGGCGUAGGCGAUGGACAACAGGUAGAGAUUCCUGUACCAGUGCUAAUUGUUUAACCGAUGGGGUGACACAGAAGGAUAGGGAAUCGCACGAAUGGAAAUGUGCGUCCAAGCAGUGAGUGUGAGAAGUAGGCAAAUCCGCUUCUCGCGAAGCAUGAGCUGUGAUGGGGAAGGAAAUUAAGUACGGAAGUUCCUGAUUUCACGCUGUCAAGAAAAGCCUCUAGGAAGAGUAGUACUGCCCGUACCGCAAACCGACACAGGUAGAUGAGGAGAGAAUCCUAAGGUGAGCGAGAGAACUCUCGUUAAGGAACUCGGCAAAAUGACCCCGUAACUUCGGGAGAAGGGGUGCUCUAUUAGGGUGCAAGCCCGAGAGAGCCGCAGUGAAUAGGCCCAGGCGACUGUUUAGCAAAAACACAGGUCUCUGCAAAACCGUAAGGUGACGUAUAGGGGCUGACGCCUGCCCGGUGCUGGAAGGUUAAGAGGAGUGCUUAGCUUCGGCGAAGGUACGAAUUGAAGCCCCAGUAAACGGCGGCCGUAACUAUAACGGUCCUAAGGUAGCGAAAUUCCUUGUCGGGUAAGUUCCGACCCGCACGAAAGGCGCAACGAUCUGGGCACUGUCUCAACGAGAGACUCGGUGAAAUUAUAGUACCUGUGAAGAUGCAGGUUACCCGCGACAGGACGGAAAGACCCCGUGGAGCUUUACUGCAACCUGAUAUGGAAUGUUUGUACCGCUUGUACAGGAUAGGUAGGAGCCGAAGAGACGUGUGCGCUAGCAUACGAGGAGGCAAUGGUGGGAUACUACCCUGGCUGUAUGACCAUUCUAACCCGCCACGCUUAGCGCGUGGGGAGACAGUGUCAGGUGGGCAGUUUGACUGGGGCGGUCGCCUCCUAAAGAGUAACGGAGGCGCCCAAAGGUUCCCUCAGAAUGGAUGGAAAUCAUUCGCAGAGUGUAAAGGCACAAGGGAGCUUGACUGCGAGACUGACAAGUCGAGCAGGGACGAAAGUCGGGCUUAGUGAUCCGGUGGUUCCGCAUGGAAGGGCCAUCGCUCAACGGAUAAAAGCUACCCCGGGGAUAACAGGCUUAUCUCCCCCAAGAGUCCACAUCGACGGGGAGGUUUGGCACCUCGAUGUCGGCUCGUCGCAUCCUGGGGCUGUAGUCGGUCCCAAGGGUUGGGCUGUUCGCCCAUUAAAGCGGCACGCGAGCUGGGUUCAGAACGUCGUGAGACAGUUCGGUCCCUAUCCGUCGCGGGCGCAGGAAAUUUGAGAGGAGCUGUCCUUAGUACGAGAGGACCGGGAUGGACACACCGCUGGUGUACCAGUUGUUCCGCCAGGAGCAUCGCUGGGUAGCUAUGUGUGGCAGGGAUAAACGCUGAAAGCAUCUAAGCGUGAAGCCCCCCUCAAGAUGAGAUUUCCCAUUUCUUCGGAAAGUAAGAUCCCUGAAAGAUGAUCAGGUAGAUAGGUUUGGAGUGGAAGUGUAGCGAUACAUGGAGCGGACAAAUACUAAUC
rnacentral:rRNA from 1 species